AUUGAACGCUGGCGGCAGGCCUAACACAUGCAAGUCGAACGAGUGGCGGACGGGUGAGUAAUGUCUGGGAAACUGCCUGAUGGAGGGGGAUAACUACUGGAAACGGUAGCUAAUACCGCAUACCAUCAGAUGUGCCCAGAUGGGAUUAGCUAGUUGGUGGGGUAACGGCUCACCAAGGCGACGAUCCCUAGCUGGGCUGAGAGGAUGACCAGCCACACGGGAACUGGGACACGGUCAAGACGCCGAGGGGAGGGUGCGGGGGGGAAUAUUGCACAAGGGGUGAAAGCCAGAUGAAGCCAUGCAGCGUGUAGGAAGAGGGCCGGCGGGUUGUAAAGUACUUUCAGAGGGGAGGCGUUACCCGCAGAAAAAGCACAGGCUAACUCCGUGCCAGCAGCCGCGGUAAUAC
rnacentral:rRNA from 1 species